ACGGUCUCAGCGUGGAUAUUGGUUAGGGCAAUCGCUUCGGGGUACCGGGUGGCGUAAUCCACCACGGUCAGGAUAUACCGUUUCCCAGAGGGGCUGGGCUUUGGUAGUGGCCCCACUAUGUCUACAGCUACACGGCUGAACGGUUCCUCAAUUAUGGGUAGGGGACAUAGCUUGGCCUUGUGGCGAUCCCCCCUCUUGCCUACCCUCUGACACACAUCACAGGAGGUACAAUAUUGCCGCACGUCUUUAGAAAUCCC